rnacentral:rRNA from 1 species
CAAUAGCGUAUAUUUAAGUUGCUGCAGUUAAAAAGCUCGUAGUUGGAUUUCGGGUGGGAAUGGCCGGUCCGCCGUUUCGGUGUGCACUUGCUACGCCCACCUUGCUGCCGGGGACGUGCUCUUGAGUUCACGCUCGGGACACGGAGUCGGCGAGGUUACUUUGAGUAAAUUAGAGUGUUCAAAGCAGGCCUACGCUCUGAAUACAUUAGCAUGGAAUAACACGAUAGGACUCUGGCCUAUCUUGUUGGUCUGUAGGACCGGAGUAAUGAUUAAGAGGGACAGUCGGGGGCACCCGUAUUUCAUUGUCAGAGGUGAAAUUCUUGGAUUUAUGAAAGACGAACUACUGCGAAAGCAUUUGCCAAGGAUGUUUUCAUUAA